GGCCUGCGCGGAAGAUGUAACGGGGCUAAACCAGGUACCGAAGCUACGGGUUCAUUCUUAGGAAUGAGCGGUAGAGGAGCGUCGUGUACGCCAAUGAAGGUGGAUUGAGAAGUCUGCUGGAGGUAUCACGAGUGCGAAUGCUGACAUGAGUAACGAUAAAGGGAGUGAAAAACUCCCUCGCCGGAAGACCAAGGGUUUCUGUUCGACGCUAAUCGGAGCAGAGUGAGUCGGCCCCUAAGGCGAGGCCGAAAGGCGUAGUCGAUGGGAAACGGGUCAAUAUUCCCGUACCGGACAUGGUUGCGAUGGGGGGACGAAGAAGGCUAGGUGAGCCAGGCGUUGGUUGUCCUGGUGAAAGUGAGUAGGCUUAGGGUUUAGGUAAAUCCGGACCCUUUUAAGGCCGAGACACGAAACGAACUGACCACGGUCAGGAAGUCACUGAUGCCACGCUUCCAGGAAAAGCCUCUAAGCUUCAGAUCAUGUGCGACCGUACCCCAAACCGACACAGGUGGUCAGGGUGAGAAUCCCAAGGCGCUUGAGAGAACUCGGGUGAAGGAACUAGGCAAAAUGGUGCCGUAACUUCGGGAGAAGGCACGCCGGCGUAGGGUGAUGAGACUUGCUCUCUAAGCCCGAACCGGUCGAAGAUACCAGGUGGCUGCAACUGUUUAUUAAAAACACAGCACUCUGCUAACGCGCAAGCGGACGUAUAGGGUGUGACGCCUGCCCGGUGCCGGAAGGUUAAAUGAUGGUGUUAGCCGCAAGGCGAAGCUCUUGAUUGAAGCCCCGGUAAACGGCGGCCGUAACUAUAACGGUCCUAAGGUAGCGAAAUUCCUUGUCGGGUAAGUUCCGACCUGCACGAAUGGCGUAAUGAUGGCCACGCUGUCUCCACCCGAGACUCAGUGAAAUUGAAAUCGCCGUGAAGAUGCGGUGUACCCGCGGCUAGACGGAAAGACCCCGUGAACCUUUACUAUAGCUUCACACUGGACGCUGAUGUUGCCUGUGUAGGAUAGCUGGGAGGCUUUGAACUCCGGACGCCAGUUCGGAGGGAGCCAACCUUGAAAUACCAGCCUGGCAUCAUUGGCGUUCUCACUCAGGUCCGUUAUCCGGAUCGAGGACAGUGUGUGGUGGGUAGUUUGACUGGGGCGGUCUCCUCCUAAAGAGUAACGGAGGAGCACGAAGGUACCCUCAGCACGGUCGGACAUCGUGCAUUGAGUGCAAGAGCAUAAGGGUGCUUGACUGCGAGACAGACACGUCGAGCAGGUGCGAAAGCAGGUUCUAGUGAUCCGGUGGUUCUGUAUGGAAGGGCCAUCGCUCAACGGAUAAAAGGUACU
rnacentral:rRNA from 1 species